GGUUAAGCGACUAAGCGUACACGGUGGAUGCCCUGGCAGUCAGAGGCGAUGAAGGACGUGCUAAUCUGCGAAAAGCGUCGGUAAGGUGAUAUGAACCGUUAUAACCGGCGAUGUCCGAAUGGGGAAACCCAGUGCAAUUCGUUGCACUAUCGUUAACUGAAUACAUAGGUUAACGAGGCGAACCGGGGGAACUGAAACAUC
rnacentral:rRNA from 1 species